UAUCUAUCUCACAUUUUCCUUGAUCUCCAUCCACUUUGAUCCGUUUCCACACCUUAAACUUCCUUAUCUAUGUAUCUCCCUCUCCCUUGACUUCAGUCUGAAAAAGGGUGUCGACCCGAAACGUCGCCCAUUCCUUCUCC